rnacentral:rRNA from 1 species
AUUGAACGCUGGCGGAAUGCUUUACACAUGCAAGUCGAACGGCAGCACGGACUCCGGUCUGGUGGCGAGUGGCGAACGGGUGAGUAAUACAUCGGAACGUGCCCAAUCGUGGGGGAUAACGUAGCGAAAGCUACGCUAAUACCGCAUACGAUCUAAGGAUGAAAGCGGGGGAUCGCAAGACCUCGCGCGAUUGGAGCGGCCGAUGGCAGAUUAGGUAGGUGGUAGGGUAAAGGCCUACCAAGCCGACGAUCUGUAGCUGGUCUGAGAGGAUGAUCAGCCAAACUGGGACUGAGACACGGCCCAGACUCCUACGGGAGGCAGCAGUGGGGAAUUUUGGACAAUGGACGCAAGUCUGAUCCAGCCAUUCCGCGUGCAGGAUGAAGGCCCUCGGGUUGUAAACUGCUUUUGUACAGAACGAAAAGGCUCUGGUUAAUACCUAGGGCUCAUGACGGUACUGUAAGAAUAAGCACCGGCUAACUACGUGCCAGCCGCCGCCGUAA